UAGAGUUUGAUCCUGGCUCAGGAUGAACGCUCCCGGCAGGCUUAACACAUGCAAGUCGAGGGGCAGCAUAAUGGAUAGCAAUAUCUAUGGUGGCGACCGGCGCACGGGUGCGUAACGCGUAUGCAACCUACCUUUAACAGGGGGAUAACACUGAGAAAUUGGUACUAAUACCCCAUAAUAUCAUAGAAGGCAUCUUUUAUGGUUGAAAAUUCCGAUGGUUAGAGAUGGGCAUGCGUUGUAUUAGCUAGUUGGUGGGUAACGGCUCACCAAGGCAACGAUCAGUAGCCGGCCUGAGAGGGUGAACGGCCACAUUGGAACUGAGACACGGUCCAAACUCCUACGGGAGGCAGCAGUGAGGAAUAUUGGUCAAUGGACGAGAGUCUGAACCAGCCAAGUAGCGUGCAGGAUGACGGCCCUAUGGGUUGUAAACUGCUUUUAUAGGGGGAUAAAGUGUGCCACGUGUGGCAUAUUGCAGGUACCCUAUGAAUAAGGACCGGCUAAUUCCGUGCCAGCAGCCGCGGUAAUACGGAAGGUCCGGGCGUUAUCCGGAUUUAUUGGGUUUAAAGGGAGCGUAGGCCGUUUGGUAAGCGUGUUGUGAAAUGUCGGGGCUCAACCUGGGCAUUGCAGCGCGAACUGCCAGACUUGAGUGCGCAGGAAGUAGGCGGAAUUCGUCGUGUAGCGGUGAAAUGCUUAGAUAUGACGAAGAACUACGAUUGCGAAGGCAGCCUGCUGUAGCGCAACUGACGCUGAAGCUCGAAAGCGUGGGUAUCGAACAGGAUUAGAUACCCUGGUAGUCCACGCGGUAAACGAUGGAUGCUCGCUGUUUGCGUCUGACGUAAGCGGCCAAGCGAAAGCGUUAAGCAUCCCACCUGGGGAGUACGCCGGCAACGGUGAAACUCAAAGGAAUUGACGGGGGCCCGCACAAGCGGAGGAACAUGUGGUUUAAUUCGAUGAUACGCGAGGAACCUUACCCGGGCUUGAACUGCCAGUGACUCAUGCAGAGACGCAUGUUUCUUCGGACACUGGCGGAGGUGCUGCAUGGUUGUCGUCAGCUCGUGCCGUGAGGUGUCGGCUUAAGUGCCAUAACGAGCGCAACCCUUCUCCCUGUUUGCCAUCGGGUAAUGCCGGGCACUCCAGGGACACUGCCAUCGUAAGAUGUGAGGAAGGUGGGGAUGACGUCAAAUCAGCACGGCCCUUACGUCCGGGGCUACACACGUGUUACAAUGGGCGGUACAGAAAGCAGCUACCCCGCGAGGGGAUGCCAAUCUCAAAAACCGUUCUCAGUUCGGACUGGAGUCUGCAACCCGACUCCACGAAGCUGGAUUCGCUAGUAAUCGCGCAUCAGCCAUGGCGCGGUGAAUACGUUCCCGGGCCUUGCACACACCGCCCGUCA
rnacentral:rRNA from 1 species